rnacentral:misc_RNA from 1 species
UCGUACAACAAGAGGCGUCCGGGGCUGUCGCUGACUUCUAAAGUCGUGCACGCCUUGGUCGUUCUCGAUCUACACAUCCUUCUCACCCCUUGUGCAUCACCGCGUGGGUUCACUUCUUUGACGAGGGGACCUGCGUUUUCCUUACACACACAAACCUUGUCACUAUGAAUGUCUUUACUUUUUGUAAUAAUCAGUA